AAUAGAUACCCAGGUAGUCCACGCCGUAAACGAUGAGUGCUAAGUGUUAGAGGGUUUCCGCCCUUUAGUGCUGCAGCUAACGCAUUAAGCACUCCGCCUGGGGAGUACGGUCGCAAGACUGAAACUCAAAGGAAUUGACGGGGGCCCGCACAAGCGGUGGAGCAUGUGGUUUAAUUCGAAGCAACGCGAAGAACCUUACCAGGUCUUGACAUCCUCUGACAACUCUAGUAGAUAGAGCGUUCCCCUUCGGGGGACAGAGUGACAGGUGGUGCAUGGUUGUCGUCAGCUCGUGUCGUGAGAUGUUGGGUUAAGUCCCGCAACGAGCGCAACCCUUGAUCUUAGUUGCCAGCAUUUAGUUGGGCACUCUAAGGUGACUGCCGGUGACAAACCGGAGGAAGUGGGGAUGACGUCAAAUCAUCAUGCCCCUUAUGACCUGGGCUACACACGUGCUACAAUGGAUGGUACAAAGGGCUGCAAGACCGCGAGGUCAAGCCAAUCCCAUAAACCAUUCUCAGUUCGGAUUGUACG
rnacentral:rRNA from 1 species